UACAGAGGGGGCGAGCGUUGUUCGGAAUUACUGGGCGUAAAGGGCGCGUAGGCGGCCUGCUAAGUCGAACGUGAAAUCCCUGGGCUCAACCCAGGAACUGCGUCCGAUACUGGUUGGCUUGAAUCCGGGAGAGGGAUGUGGAAUUCCAGGUGUAGCGGUGAAAUGCGUAGAUAUGCGGAGGAACACCGAUGGCGAAGGCAAUCCCCUGGGCCUGCACUGACGCUCAUGCACGAAAGCGUGGGGAGCAAACAGG
rnacentral:rRNA from 1 species